rnacentral:rRNA from 1 species
AGUACAGCGGCGCACGGGUGAGUAACACGUGGGUAAUCUGCCCUGGAGUGGGGAAUAACACCGGGAAACCGGUGCUAAUACCGCAUACGAUAGCGAGGUCUGCGGACUUUGUUAUGAAAGGAGCAAUUCGCUCCAGGAGGAGCCCGCGGCUGAUUAGCUAGUUGGUGAGGUAAUGGCUCACCAAGGCUACGAUCAGUGUCCGGUCUGAGAGGACGGUCGGACACACUGGAACUGAGACACGGUCCAGACUCCUACGGGAGGCAGCAGUGGGGAAUUUUUCGCAAUGGGGGCAACCCUGACGAAGCAACGCCGCGUGGGUGAUGAAGUCUCUUGGGACGUAAAACCCUUUCGACGGGGAAGAAACCGCAAGGUUGACGGUACCCGUAGAAGAAGCCCCGGCUAACUCCGUGCCAGCAGCCGCGGUAAUACGGGGGGGGCAAGCGUUGUUCGGAAUUACUGGGCGUAAAGGGUGCGUAGGCGGUUCGCUAAGUUGGAUGUGAAAACUCUGGGCUUAACCCAGAGCCUGCAUCCAAAACUGGCGGGCUAGAGUUCUGGAGGGGGUAGCGGAAUUCCUGGUGUAGCGGUGAAAUGCGUAGAUAUCAGGAGGAACACCGGUGGCGAAGGCGGCUACCUGGACAGAAACUGACGCUGAGGCACGAAAGCUAGGGGAGCAAACAGGAUUAGAUACCCUGGUAGUCCUAGCCCUAACGAUGGAUACUUGGUGUGACGGGGAUUGAAUCCCGUCGUGCCGAAAGCUACGCA